UGCAGUCGAGGGGCAGCAUGAGACGGAGAUUCGUUGAAGUCUUGAUGGCGACCGGCGCAAGGGUGCGUAACGCGUGAGCAACUUGCCCGUUUCAGGGGGAUAACCGGUGGAAACGCCGACUAAUACCCCAUAGUAUUGAGUUUAGGCAUCUUUACUCAAUUAAAGAAUUUCGGAAACGGAUAGGCUCGCGUGACAUUAGCUAGAUGGCGGGGUAACGGCCCACCAUGGCGACGAUGUCUAGGGGUUCUGAGAGGAAGGUCCCCCACACUGGAACUGAGACACGGUCCAGACUCCUACGGGAGGCAGCAGUGAGGAAUAUUGGUCAAUGGUCUGACGACUGAACCAGCCAUGCCGCGUGAAGGUCACGGCCCUAUGGGUCUUAAACUUCUUUUGUAAGGGAGCAAUAAGUUUCACGUGUGGGAUGGUGAGAGUACCUUACGAAUAAGCAUCGGCUAACUCCGUGCCAGCAGCCGCGGUAAUACGGGGGAUGCAAGCGUUAUCCGGAUUUAUUGGGUUUAAAGGGUGCGUAGGCGGCAUUGUAAGUCAGCGGUGAAAUUUCGGAGCUCAACUUCGAACGUGCCGUUGAUACUGCAGUGCUAGAAUGCGGAUGCCGUGGGAGGAAUGUGUGGUGUAGCGGUGAAAUGCAUAGAUAUCACACAGAACACCGAUUGCGAAGGCAUCUCACGAAUCCGCAAUUGACGCUGAGGCACGAAAGCGUGGGGAUCAAACAGGAUUAGAUACCCUGGUAGUCCACGCUGUAAACGAUGAUGACUAACCGUCGGCGAUACACAGUCGGUGGCCAAGCGAAAGCGAUAAGUCAUCCACCUGGGGGAGUACGACCGCAAGGUUGA
rnacentral:rRNA from 1 species